rnacentral:rRNA from 1 species
UACGUAGGGUGCAAGCGUUGUCCGGAAUUAUUGGGCGUAAAGAGCUCGUAGGCGGUUUGUUGCGUCGGCUGUGAAAUCCCGAGGCUCAACCUCGGGUCUGCAGUCGAUACGAGCAAAACUAGAGUGUUUGCAGGGGGAGACUGGAAUUCCUGGUGUAGCGGUGAAAUGCGCAGAUAUCAGGAGGGAACACCCGGUGGGCGAAAGGCGGGGUCUCUGGGGCAAACAACUGACGCUGGAGGAGCGAAAAGCGUGGGGGAGCGAACAGG